UUUGGGAACCACGGCUGUGGCAAGGAGUGUCUAAAACUUCAGCGGGCAUCAGAAUCACCUGGAGGGCUCGCUAAGCACACACUCCUGGGACCACUGCGGAGGUUCUGACUAUGGGGUUCCCUGAAGAAAUGUAUGGCUCUCAAGUUUCCAGGAGGUUCAUACAGUAAAUUUUGAACAUUUGGUGGUGAUGGUGACGUAGGGGUUGUAAAGCAUUUGCACCCACACCAUGUUGACACCAACAUAAGUCGUCUUUGAUCUGUACAAGACACUAUAAUAAAAAAGAAAAUCAUACAAAAAUCCACUCACCAGAGAGUGAAGACAGUUUUACUUAUGAUUGGGAUCCUUGCAGAGGUUAUAGUUCACUCUGGACAUCA